UAAGCGUAGCAAAAAGUACAUUAACUCUU
rnacentral:sRNA from 1 species